rnacentral:rRNA from 1 species
UACGGAGGGUGCAAGCGUUGUUCGGAAUCAUUGGGCGUAAAGCGCGUGUAGGCGGCCUGGUAAGUCGGGUGUGAAAUCCCGGGGCUCAACCCCGGAACUGCACUCGAAACUGCCUCGCUAGAGUCUCGGAGAGGAAGGCGGAAUUCCCGGUGUAGAGGUGAAAUUCGUAGAUAUCGGGAGGAACACCAGCGGCGAAGGCGGCCUUCUGGACGGUGACUGACGCUGAGACGCGAAAGCGUGGGGAGCAAACAGG